rnacentral:rRNA from 1 species
AUUGAACGCUGGCGGCAGGCCUAACACAUGCAAGUCGAACGAGUGGCGGACGGGUGAGUAAUGUAUGGGAAACUGCCUGAUGGAGGGGGAUAACUACUGGAAACGGUAGCUAAUACCGCAUACCAUCAGAUGGGCCCAGAUGGGAUUAGCUAGUUGGUGGGGUAACGGCUCACCAAGGCAACGAUCACUAGCUGGUCUGAGAGGAGGACCAGCCACACUGGAACGGAGCCACGGUCCAGACUCCUACGGGAGGCAGCAGUGGGGAAUAUGGCACAAUGGGCGCAAGCCUGAUGCAGCCAUGCCGCGUGUAUGAAGAAGGCCUUCGGUUUGUAAAGUACUUUCAGCGGGGAGGCGUUACCCGCAGAAGAAGCACCGGCUAACUCCGUGCCAGCAGCCGCGGUAAUUC